GAUGAACGCUGGCGGCGUGCCUAAUACAUGCAAGUCGAGCGAACAGACGAGGAGCUUGCUCCUCUGACGUUAGCGGCGGACGGGUGAGUAACACGUGGAUAACCUACCUAUAAGACUGGGAUAACUUCGGGAAACCGGAGCUAAUACCGGAUAAUAUAUUGAACCGCAUGGUUCAAUAGUGAAAGACGGUUUUGCUGUCACUUAUAGAUGGAUCCGCGCCGCAUUAGCUAGUUGGUAAGGUAACGGCUUACCAAGGCAACGAUGCGUAGCCGACCUGAGAGGGUGAUCGGCCACACUGGAACUGAGACACGGUCCAGACUCCUACGGGAGGCAGCAGUAGGGAAUCUUCCGCAAUGGGCGGAAGCUUGACGGAGCAACGCCGCGUGAGUGAUGAAGGUCUUCGGAUCGUAAAACUCUGUUAUUAGGGAAGAACAAAUGUGUAAGUAACUAUGCACGUCUUGACGGUACCUAAUCAGAAAGCCACGGCUAACUACGUG
rnacentral:rRNA from 1 species